UACGGGAGGCAGCAGUGGGGAAUAUUGCACAAUGGGGGAAGCCCUGAUGCAGCGACGCAGCGUGCGGGAUGACGGCCUUCGGGUUGUAAACCGCUUUCAGCAGGGAAGAAGCCUUUCGGGGUGACGGUACCUGCAGAAGAAGUACCGGCUAACUACGUGCCAGCAGCCGCGGUAAUACGUAGGGUACAAGCGUUGUCCGGAAUUAUUGGGCGUAAAGAGCUCGUAGGUGGUUGGUCACGUCUGCUGUGGAAACGCAACGCUUAACGUUGCGCGUGCAGUGGGUACGGGCUGACUAGAGUGCAGUAGGGGAGUCUGGAAUUCCUGGUGUAGCGGUGAAAUGCGCAGAUAUCAGGAGGAACACCGGUGGCGAAGGCGGGACUCUGGGCUGUAACUGACACUGAGGAGCGAAAGCAUGGGGAGCGAACAGGAUUAGAUACCCUGGUAGUCCAUGCCGUAAACGUUGGGCACUAGGUGUGGGGGACAUUCCACGUUCUCCGCGC
rnacentral:rRNA from 1 species